GUAGAUGCUCAUUCCAUCUCUUAUGUUCGCGCAAGCCUCAUAAACUCCGGAAUGAUGCAGAGCCAUUUGCGGUGCUUAUCGUCCACUGACAGAUGUCGCUUCGGCCUCAUCAGACACCAUGGACAUAACGUUGAGUGAAGCACCUUUUGUUGUCAAAACGACCUGUUUAACGCCUGCGCUGGCUUCAGCGCAGGCGUUUUUUU
rnacentral:sRNA from 2 species